ACGGGUGAGUAAUGUCUGGGAAACUGCCUGAUGGAGGGGGAUAACUACUGGAAACGGUAGCUAAUACCGCAUAACGUCGCAAGACCAAAGAGGGGGACCUUCGGGCCUCUUGCCAUCAGAUGUGCCCAGAUGGGAUUAGCUAGUAGGUGGGGUAACGGCUCACCUAGGCGACGAUCCCUAGCUGGUCUGAGAGGAUGACCAGCCACACUGGAACUGAGACACGGUCCAGACUCCUACGGGAGGCAGCAGUGGGGAAUAUUGCACAAUGGGCGCAAGCCUGAUGCAGCCAUGCCGCGUGUAUGAAGAAGGCCUUCGGGUUGUAAAGUACUUUCAGCGGGGAGGAAGGUGUUGUGGUUAAUAACCACAGCAAUUGACGUUACCCGCAGAAGAAGCACCGGCUAACUCCGUGCCAGCAGCCGCGGUAAUACGGAGGGUGCAAGCGUUAAUCGGAAUUACUGGGCGUAAAGCGCACGCAGGCGGUCUGUCAAGUCGGAUGUGAAAUCCCCGGGCUCAACCUGGGAACUGCAUUCGAAACUGGCAGGCUAGAGUCUUGUGGAGGGGGGUAGAAUUCCAGGUGUAGCG
rnacentral:rRNA from 1 species